UACGGAGGUUGCAAGCGUUACUCGGAAUCACUGGGCGUAAAGGGCGCGUAGGCGGCCUAGCAAGUCUGGUGUGAAAGCCCAGGGCUUAACCCUGGAAGGGCACUGGAAACUGUUAGGCUUGAGUUCCGGAGAGGAGGGGGGAAUUCCCGGUGUAGCGGUGAAAUGCGUAGAUAUCGGGAGGAAUACCGGUGGCGAAGGCGCCCCUCUGGACGGAAACUGACGCUGAGGCGCGAAAGCGUGGGGAGCAAUCCGG
rnacentral:rRNA from 1 species